CUCUCCCUCCUUAAUAUGGAAGGAACAGACCCCCUGUCUCUCCCUCCUUAAUAUGGAAGGAACAGCCCCCCUGUCUCUCCCUCCUUAAUAUGGAAGGAACAGCCCCCCUGUCUCUCCCUCCUUAAUAUGCAUCUGCUUAUCAUAAACAUAAACAUGUGAGCAUUGAAUAAGUAUCAAAGUUAAUAUACAAUGAUUGAUCUA
rnacentral:lncRNA from 1 species